rnacentral:ncRNA from 2 species
GCAUUUGAGUAGGGGAACCGGUGUCGCCGGUUGAGAAAGCAUUGGUGAAAUGCUGACCCUUUGAACCUGAUCUGGUUCAUACCAGCGAAGGGAACGUCAAUGAAUACAAA